rnacentral:rRNA from 1 species
AUGAACGCUAGCGACAGGCUUAACACAUGCAAGUCGAGGGGCAGCACAGGUAGCAAUACCGGGUGGCGACCGGCGCACGGGUGAGUAACGCGUAUGCAACUUACCUAUCAGAGGGGGAUAACCCGGCGAAAGUCGGACUAAUACCGCAUGAAGCAGGGGCCCCGCAUGGGGAUAUUUGCUAAAGAUUCAUCGCUGAUAGAUAGGCAUGCGUUCCAUUAGGCAGUUGGCGGGGUAACGGCCCACCAAACCGACGAUGGAUAGGGGUUCUGAGAGGAAGGUCCCCCACAUUGGUACUGAGACACGGACCAAACUCCUACGGGAGGCAGCAGUGAGGAAUAUUGGUCAAUGGCCGAGAGGCUGAACCAGCCAAGUCGCGUGAGGGAUGAAGGUUCUAUGGAUCGUAAACCUCUUUUAUAAGGGAAUAAAGUGCGGGACGUGUCCCGUUUUGUAUGUACCUUAUGAAUAAGGAUCGGCUAACUCCGUGCCAGCAGCCGCGGUAAUACGGAGGAUCCGAGCGUUAUCCGGAUUUAUUGGGUUUAAAGGGUGCGUAGGCGGCCUUUUAAGUCAGCGGUGAAAGUCUGUGGCUCAACCAUAGAAUUGCCGUUGAAACUGGGGGGCUUGAGUAUGUUUGAGGCAGGCGGAAUGCGUGGUGUAGCGGUGAAAUGCAUAGAUAUCACGCAGAACCCCGAUUGCGAAGGCAGCCUGCCAAGCCAUGACUGACGCUGAUGCACGAAAGCGUGGGGAUCAAACAGGAUUAGAUACCCUGGUAGUCCACGCAGUAAACGAUGAUCACUAGCUGUUUGCGAUACACUCUAAGCGGCACAGCGAAAGCGUUAAGUGAUCCACCUGGGGAGUACGCCGGCAACGGUGAAACUCAAAGGAAUUGACGGGGGCCCGCACAAGCGGAGGAACAUGUGGUUUAAUUCGAUGAUACGCGAGGAACCUUACCCGGGUUUGAACGCAUUCGGACCGAGGUGGAAACACCUUUUCUAGCAAUAGCCGUUUGCGAGGUGCUGCAUGGUUGUCGUCAGCUCGUGCCGUGAGGUGUCGGCUUAAGUGCCAUAACGAGCGCAACCCUUGCCACUAGUUACUAACAGGUAAAGCUGAGGACUCUGGUGGGACUGCCAGCGUAAGCUGCGAGGAAGGCGGGGAUGACGUCAAAUCAGCACGGCCCUUACAUCCGGGGCGACACACGUGUUACAAUGGCGUGGACAAAGGGAAGCCACCUGGCGACAGGGAGCGAAUCCCCAAACCACGUCUCAGUUCGGAUCGGAGUCUGCAACCCGACUCCGUGAAGCUGGAUUCGCUAGUAAUCGCGCAUCAGCCAUGGCGCGGUGAAUACGUUCCCGGGCCUUGUACACACCGCCCGUCAAGCCAUGGGAGCCGGGGGUACCUGAAGUCCGUAACCGCGAGGAUCGGCCUAGGGUAAAACUGGUGACUGGGGCU